rnacentral:rRNA from 1 species
UCAGACGAUGCGUCAUGCAUAUCAAUAAGCGGAGGAAAAGAAACUAACAAGGAUUCCCUUAGUAACGGCGAGUGAAGCGGGAAGAGCUCAAAUUCGAAAUCUUGAAAGGUUACCUUUCACGAAUUGUAGUUUAAAGAAGUGUUUUCUGUUAAGGUUUUGGCAAAAGUUCUUUGGAAUAGGACAUCAUAGAGGGUGAGAAUCCCGUAUUUGACCUUUACUUUCAACUUUGUGAUACACUUUCAAAGAGUCGGAUUGUUUGGGAAUGCAGUCCAAAAUGGGUGGUAAAUUUCAUCUAAAGCUAAACAUUGGCGAGAGACCGAUAGCGAACAAGUACCGUGAGGGAAAGAUGAAAAGAACUUUGAAAAGAGAGUUAAACAGUACGUGAAAUUGUCAAAAGGGAAGCGUUUGACACCAGUGUUGUUUUUCUGAAAAUCAAUUAAAGAACUGUUUAUGCUAAGUUGUUUAGACUUUAUCAGCUAACUGUUUAGUUUUGAGCUUUUCUUUAAUGCACUUUUCAGUUAACAAGUCAACAUCAAUUUCUUUUGCUGUAAAAAAAGCUUGAGGAAGGUGGCUUGAGAUUCGUCUUAAGUGUUUAUAGCCUCUUGCCUAUGCAGUCGGAGAGAUUGAGGUCUGCAGCGUAGAUCCUUCGGGGCUAAAUGCAUUUGUGCUUAAGUUAUAGCAUUUUAUAGACAACUUGUUGACUAUGAUUUGUCUUGUAGCUUACUCGCUUCUGCUAUUUUACCUACGCUUAGGAUGUUGAGCGCAUGUCUCUCUCU